rnacentral:rRNA from 1 species
GACGUAGGGCGCGAGCGUUGUCCGGAAUUAUUGGGCGUAAAGAGCUCGUAGGCGGCUUGUUGCGUCGACUGUGAAAACCCGCGGCUCAACCGUGUGGCUUGCAGUCGAUACGGGCAGGCUAGAGUUCGGUAGGGGAGACUGGAAUUCCGGGUGUAGUGGUGAAAUGCGUAGAGAUCCGGAGGAAUACCAGUGGCGCAAGCGGCGCUCUGGGUCGAGCCUGACACUGAGACGCGAAGGCAUGGGGAGCGAACGGG